ACUUGGUGAGUAGGCCAGCGACGGACUGUAUUUGGCAGACUGAGGAUUGUAGCUUGGGGAUGUAGGACUAUAGGUUGGUGAAGUUGGGCUAUAACUUGGUGAAGUUGGACUAUAACCAGGAGAAGUGGGGCUAUAGGCUGGUGAAGUGGGGCUGUACGAUGGAGAAGUAGGGCUGUAUGACGGUGAGGUAGGGCUGUACGAAGGUGAUGUUGGGCUGUAGGAAGGAGAGGUUGGGCUGUACGAUGGUGAGGUGGGGCUGUAUGCAGGUGAGGUGGGGCUAUAUGCAGGUGAGGUGGGGCUAUAUGCCGGUGAGGUGGGGCUAUAGCUUGGUGAAGUUGGACUGUAACUGGGAGAAGUGGGGCUGUAACUUGGAGAGGUCGGGCUGUAGCUUGGGGAUGUUGGGCUGUAACUUGGGGAG
rnacentral:lncRNA from 1 species